rnacentral:rRNA from 1 species
GGGCCCGCACAAGCGGCGGGGCAUGCGGAUUAAUUCGAUGCAACGCGAAGAACCUUACCUGGGUUUGACAUAUGCCGGAAAGCUCCAGAGAUGGAGCCCCCGCAAGGUCGGUUUACAGGUGGUGCAUGGCUGUCGUCAGCUCGUGUCGUGAGAUGUUGGGUUAAGUCCCGCAACGAGCGCAACCCUCGUUCUAUGUUGCCAGCACGUUAUGGUGGGGACUCAUAGGAGACUGCCGGGGUCGACUCGGAGGAAGGUGGGGAUGACGUCAAGUCAUCAUGCCCCUUAAGUCCAAGGCUUCACGCAUGCUACAAUGGCUGGUACAAAGGGCUGCGAUACCGCAAGGUGGAGCGAAUCCCAAAAAGCCGGUCUCAGUUCGGAUUGGGGUCUGCAACUCGACCCCAUGAAGUCGGAGUCGCUAGUAAUCGCAGA